UGAUAUUUCCCCAGAUUUUAUAUUUAAUUCGGCUAUUCUAAACGGCCACACCGUACCCAAUAUAAGAGAAUCGUUCCUGCAAUUGAAUAAUGUAACGCCGAUAACACCAGCAAUCGUAGAAAUAGAGCCGGAAACUGACUUACACGUAGCCGCCGCGUGACUUCGUGAGCCGAAGAAAGAUUUCGGCAAGAGGUGUUUUGACU